CAUUCUGGAGAAGCCCGCGUCGGCGGGUGCCGAAGGUGUACGGCGCGAUCUGCGUUUAUCUCUCAGGCAAAAGGACAGAAUC
rnacentral:ncRNA from 1 species